GCCAGGCACGGUGGUGCAUGCCUGUAGUCCUAGCUGCUCCAGAGGCUGAGGCUGGAGGAUCACUUGAGUCCAAGAGUUCUAGACUAUAGUGCUAUGCUGAUCGGGUGUCCGCACUCAGUUUGGCAUCAGUACGGUGACCUCCGGGAGCGGGGGACCACCAGGUUGCCUAAGGAGGGGUGAACUGGCCCAGAUCGGAAACGGAGCAUGUCAGAACUCUCGUGCUGAUCAGUAGUGGGAUAGCACCUGUUAAUAGCCGCUGCACUCUAGCCUGAGCAAAAUAGACCCUCUUUUUU
rnacentral:SRP_RNA from 1 species